GAGGAACUGUUCCCCUGUGGUAUCCUCAAGAAAACUCCCCUGUGGAGAAAGGGCAAACUCAGGCAAGAAGUAUGCACCUUGGGACUGCUCUGCUCUCGUCUGGAGAUGAGCGUAGACAGCAAUAGCAAGCCAAAUGACCUCCCAGAAGAGCCCUGCACCGUUAGGGCUGGCCAUCCUCGUGCGUUGGAACUCUGGAGCGGCGCCGGGCUCGGCGCGGAGCGCAGCGCCGGCCGAUGCUGGGGUCGGAGAGGAGCGGCUCCGCCGGCGCCUCCUUCCCGCUCGCAGGUCAGGGGAGAGCCUCGC
rnacentral:lncRNA from 1 species